rnacentral:piRNA from 1 species
UCCACAAACCCCAAGCUAGGCACAGAGUG